rnacentral:rRNA from 1 species
AUUGAACGCUGGCGGAAUGCUUUACACAUGCAAGUCGAACGGUAGAGGGGGCAACCCCUUGAGAGUGGCGAACGGGUGAGUAAUAUAUCGGAACGUGCCCAGUCGUGGGGGAUAACGUAGCGAAAGUUACGCUAAUACCGCAUACGAUCUACGGAUGAAAGCGGGGGACUCGCAAGAGCCUCGCGCGAUUGGAGCGGCCGAUAUCAGAUUAGGUAGUUGGUGGGGUAAAGGCUCACCAAGCCAACGAUCUGUAGCUGGUCUGAGAGGACGACCAGCCACACUGGAACUGAGACACGGUCCAGACUCCUACGGGAGGCAGCAGUGGGGAAUUUUGGACAAUGGACGAAAGUCUGAUCCAGCCAUUCCGCGUGCAGGAUGAAGGCCCUCGGGUUGUAAACUGCUUUUGUACGGAACGAAAAGGUCUCUCUUAAUACGGGGGGCUCAUGACGGUACCGUAAGAAUAAGCACCGGCUAACUACGU